rnacentral:rRNA from 1 species
UACGUAGGGUGCAAGCGUUGUCCGGAAUUAUUGGGCGUAAAGAGCUCGUAGGCGGUUUGUUGCGUCGGCUGAGAAAUCCCGAGGCUCAACCUCGGGUCUGCAGUCGAUACGAGCAAACUAGAGUGUUGCAGGGGAGACUGGAAUUCCUGGUGUAGCGGUGAAAUGCGCAGAUAUCAGGAGGAACACCGGUGGCGAAGGCGGGUCUCUGGGCAACAACUGACGCUGAGGAGCGAAAGCGUGGGGAGCGAACAGG